CGUACGCUUCUUUUUCACCGGAGCUUGCUCCACCGGAAAAAGAAGAGUGGCGAACGGGUGAGUAACACGUGGGUAACCUGCCCAUCAGAAGGGGAUAACACUUGGAAACAGGUGCUAAUACCGUAUAACAAUCGAAACCGCAUGGUUUUGAUUUGAAAGGCGCUUUCGGGUGUCGCUGAUGGAUGGACCCGCGGUGCAUUAGCUAGUUGGUGAGGUAACGGCUCACCAAGGCCACGAUGCAUAGCCGACCUGAGAGGGUGAUCGGCCACAUUGGGACUGAGACACGGCCCAAACUCCUACGGGAGGCAGCAGUAGGGAAUCUUCGGCAAUGGACGAAAGUCUGACCGAGCAACGCCGCGUGAGUGAAGAAGGUUUUCGGAUCGUAAAACUCUGUUGUUAGAGAAGAACAAGGAUGAGAGUAACUGUUCAUCCCUUGACGGUAUCUAACCAGAAAGCCACGGCUAACUACGUGCCAGCAGCCGCGGUAAUACGUAGGUGGCAAGCGUUGUCCGGAUUUAUUGGGCGUAAAGCGAGCGCAGGCGGUUUCUUAAGUCUGAUGUGAAAGCCCCCGGCUCAACCGGGGAGGGUCAUUGGAAACUGGGAGACUUGAGUGCAGAAGAGGAGAGUGGAAUUCCAUGUGUAGCGGUGAAAUGCGUAGAUAUAUGGAGGAACACCAGUGGCGAAGGCGGCUCUCUGGUCUGUAACUGACGCUGAGGCUCGAAAGCGUGGGGAGCAAACAGGAUUAGAUACCCUGGUAGUCCACGCCGUAAACGAUGAGUGCUAAGUGUUGGAGGGUUUCCGCCCUUCAGUGCUGCAGCUAACGCAUUAAGCACUCCGCCUGGGGAGUACGACCGCAAGGUUGAAACUCAAAGGAAUUGACGGGGGCCCGCACAAGCGGUGGAGCAUGUGGUUUAAUUCGAAGCAACGCGAAGAACCUUACCAGGUCUUGACAUCCUUUGACCACUCUAGAGAUAGAGCUUCCCCUUCGGGGGCAAAGUGACAGGUGGUGCAUGGUUGUCGUCAGCUCGUGUCGUGAGAUGUUGGGUUAAGUCCCGCAACGAGCGCAACCCUUAUUGUUAGUUGCCAUCAUUCAGUUGGGCACUCUAGCAAGACUGCCGGUGACAAACCGGAGGAAGGUGGGGAUGACGUCAAAUCAUCAUGCCCCUUAUGACCUGGGCUACACACGUGCUACAAUGGGAAGUACAACGAGUCGCGAAGUCGCGAGGCUAAGCUAAUCUCUUAAAGCUUCUCUCAGUUCGGAUUGUAGGCUGCAACUCGCCUACAUGAAGCCGGAAUCGCUAGUAAUCGCGGAUCAGCACGCCGCGGUGAAUACGUUCCCGGGCCUUGUACACACCGCCCGUCACACCACGAGAGUUUGUAACACCCGAAGUCGGUGAGGU
rnacentral:rRNA from 1 species